rnacentral:tRNA from 1 species
AAAGAAUUAGUUAAUCAUAACCUUAGUAUGUCAUACUAAAAUUACUAGAAUUGUUAACUCUAGUAUUCUUUG